rnacentral:rRNA from 1 species
UACGUAGGGUGCGAGCGUUGUCCGGAAUUACUGGGCGUAAAGAGUUCGUAGGCGGUUUGUCGCGUCGUUCGUGAAAACUUGGGGCUUAACUCCAAGCGUGCGGGCGAUACGGGCAGACUUGAGUACUACAGGGGAGACUGGAAUUCCUGGUGUAGCGGUGAAAUGCGCAGAUAUCAGGAGGAACACCGGUGGCGAAGGCGGGUCUCUGGGCCUGUACUGACGCUGAGGAGCGAAAGCGUGGGGAGCGAACAGG